rnacentral:lncRNA from 1 species
CUGAUCAGAAUUGCCAGUUCUUCCUGUAGGACCUUUAUUCCAGGUAAAUCCUGGUGGUAAUUCAUCUGCUGAAGCUUCUCUGAUCAGACAAGCCUGAUCAGAAUUGCCAGUUCUUACUGUCGGACCAUUAUUCCAGGUAAAGCCUGGUGGUAAUUCAUCCGCUGAAGCUUCUCUGCUCAGAGAAGCCUGAUCAGAAUUGUUAGUUCCUACUCUUGGACCUUUAUUCCAGGUAAAGCCUGGUGGUAAGUCAUCUGCUGAAGCUUCUCUGGCCAGAGAAGCCUGGUUGGAAUUGCCAGUUCUUAAUGUCGGAUCUUUAUUCCAGGUAAAGCCUGGUGGUAAUUCAUCCGCUGAAGUUUCUCCGCUCAGAUCUUUGUUCUGGAUAAGUAUUUCCUUUCCCCAGCCUGGUGGUAAUUCAUCCGCUGAAGCAUCUUUGCUCAGAGAAGCCUGAUCACACUGAAGCUUCUCUGGUCGGAGAAGCCUGAUCGGAAUUGCCAGUUCCUAAUGUCGGACCUUUAUUCCAGGUAAAGCCUGGUGGUAAUUCAUCCGCUGAAGCUUCUCCGCUCAGAUCUUUGUUCUGGAUAAGUAUUUCCUUUCCCCAGCCUGGUGGUAAUUCAUCCGCUGGAGCUUCUUUGCUCAGAGAAGCCUGAACAGAAUAGCCAGUUCCUACAAUAGGAUCUUUGUUCGGGGCAAGUAUUUCCUUUUCCCAGGCUGGUCGUAAUUCCUCCGCUGAAGCUUCUCUGCUCAGAGAAGCCUGAUCAGAAUUGCCAGUUCCUGCAGUAGAAUCUUUGUUCGGGGAAAGUAUUCCGUUGUCCCAGCCUGGUGGUAAUUGAUCUGCUGAAGCUUCUCUGCUCAAAGCCUGCUCAGAAUUGCCUGUUCCUACUGUAGGAUCUUUGGUCGGGGCAAGUAUUUCCUUUUCCCAGGUUAGUGGUAAUUCCUCCGCUGAAGCUCCUCUGCUCAGAGAAGCCUGACCAGAAUUGCCAGUUCCUACUGUCAGAUCUUUGUUCGAGGCAAGUGUUUCCUUUCCUAAGCCUGGGGGUAAUUCAUCGACUGAAGCUUCUCUGCUCAGAGAAGCCUGAUCAGAAUUGCCAAUUCCUACUGUCGGAUCUUUGUUCUGGGCAAGUAUUU